GAAAUUUCAUUCGCACUAGUGAUAGCUAGUUUUCUCGAAAAGAUAUAAAAGUGUCGGGAAAAAUAUAAUGUAUAAUAGGAAUUCUUAUAUAUACAUGUAUUUUACUAAUUUUUUUGAGGAUAAGCUCAAAAAAAAGUUAAGGAUUAUUCUUACUUAAGUUUGCUAUAUGGGCUUAAAAUUGGCCGCUAUAAAAGUUUUUUAUAAAAUAGUAAUUUUAGCCUUACAGAUAAAUAUAAUUUAAACUAACUUUUUACGGGGAUAAAAACUUUAAUUAAAAAAAGUUUUAUGCCUAUGCUAGAAUGAGUAUUAAAACUUAAUUAUAAAAGAUUUAUUUGUAUCUUCUAUAAAAAUAAUUAAAAAAAUUAAUUAAUUAGAAGGAAUUCGGCAAAUUUAGUUGUUUCGCCUGUUUAUCAAAAACAUGGCUCUUUGGUUAUAUAAAUAUAGAGAGUCGGCCUGCCC
rnacentral:rRNA from 1 species